rnacentral:lncRNA from 1 species
UGGGUUUAGAUGUGCAUGAAUGUGUGGAACAAUGCUUUGAAUGUCUAAUCACUCAGUUUCUGAAAUUGGUACCAUAGGGUUUGGGGUUUUUGAAAUCGGACUAUUAUCAAGGAAGAACCCAUAACCCAUAGGCAUUCGCUAGCACCUCGCUAGGCGAAUCUGUGGCGAAGCUUCGCUAAGUCUUCGCUAAGCGAAGCAGUAGCGAUCAUGACAGUAG